GGCUUGUAUUUACAAACAACGGUCUUUGCUCUGCGUUAGCCAGCUACCGUACCAUAAAACUCUUCUUUUCAUCAGGUACCUUCCGUUUCUCGAAACAAGUUGAUCAGUGCUGAGCCCAAACAAAGCACUUUCCCCAAUUGGAAAAACAAGCCCGCCAUCGGUUGGAGAGGAGAGGGAAACAUGAAGAACCAGGACCUGCCAUGUUCCGAUUCUCAGGAUGCCUUGUGCCGUGGUGAGGGAAAUUCUAAUGCUGCUUUAAAUUCAUGAGCCACUUCUAGCCUCAUCUGAAAAUUAAGGCUUGGAAACGAGAGGGAAACACAAAAAGGAACAGGACCUGCUAUGCUCUGGAGGGUUCUAUGACCUGCUAGGUUGCCUUGCGGCAAUGAUAAUUACGAUGCUGCCUCAAAAUGUGAGGACUCCUCCCUAUGUUAUCACUAAACCAAGGUUUCAAAGAGGGACAGUUGGGAAGGAACAGGACCAGCCGUGUUUGCACUCACAGAGUGCAGAGCGCCUCGCAGGCAGUUACAAUGUUCCUUUGUAAUUAAGGAACCACUUCAUAUCUGUAUCGGCGGCUUGGAAGGAAAGGGGUAACAAGUGAGGAAGAG